AUUGAACGCUGGCGGCAGGCUUAACACAUGCAAGUCGAGCGGUAACAGGGGUGCUUGCACCCGCUGACGAGCGGCGAACGGGUGAGUAACGCGUAGGAAUCUACCUAAUAGAGGGGGAUAGCCCGGGGAAACUCGGAUUAAUACCGCAUACGCCCUACGGGGAAAGCAGGGAUCUUCGGACCUUGCGCUAUUAGAUGAGCCUGCGUCGGAUUAGCUAGUUGGUGAGGUAAAGGCUCACCAAGGCGACGAUCCGUAGCUGGUCUGAGAGGAUGAUCAGCCACACUGGAACUGAGACACGGUCCAGACUCCUACGGGAGGCAGCAGUGGGGAAUAUUGGACAAUGGGGGCAACCCUGAUCCAGCCAUGCCGCGUGUGUGAAGAAGGCCCUAUGGGUUGUAAACUGCUUUUGUACGGGAAGAAACACCCCCUCGUGAGGGGGCUUGACGGUACCUUUCGAAUAAGCACCGGCUAACUCCGUGCCAGCAGCCGCGGUAAUGUCAGUG
rnacentral:rRNA from 1 species